UCCAUUUCCCUCCUUUUUGAUAGCGUAGUAACUAUUUCCCCUCUAUGUUCUCUUCUCUUCUCUUUUCUUUUUUUGUCAAUCAUUUUCUUUCUCUUUCCCUAUUUCCUCGAUCUCUCUUGCUUCGAACUUUGAACUAUGGAGUUUCCUUCUUAAGGUGUAAAUCGUCAAUGUGAUCAUGUUAACUUUCACAAGGAUGUCCAUCAAAUUUAUUCCUCUUGAUCAUUUGUAUUAAAUGAUGCUUUAGUUUGAAAUUAUCCGCACAAAAGUCAGGUUUGACGAUGCAGAGAAUAGUUGAUUGGGUGAACGAUGGCGUGCCCACACGGAUAACUCGCAAUUCUGCCUCAGAACACCUUCAGUAACAGGUGUUCUAUACACUUUGUUUAGCUUCUCAUAUUUCUUGAGAGAAAAAGCAGUAAAAUUCCACUUUCUGGUGUACAUACUAACUGCUUGAGGAAGGAAUACAUGGUCUUCUUUCCUUCCGUUCUCUAAGCAAUACACCAUUUGAGCCAAAAAAAGUUAAUUUUGUGUGGAAAGUUUUCGUAACCACUGCAUGAUGGAGGAUCCACAGGGAAUUGCUGAUCAAAGAUGGAAUUCUGAAUCGGCCAGUGUAAGCUCUCAGAGAAUUGCAGCCAAAGUUGUUUCCAUACCAAAGAAUUUGACACAGAAAUCUAUCAAUCAUGUUGAUUUGAAGGAUCGUGCAAUAAGAGGAGUUGCUGGCGAUGUUGCAUUUUUCUUAUUAAAAGUUGCUGCUUUAGAAACUACAAGGAGGCUUUCAAGUGCUAAGUACCCAUUUGCUUAGCGUAGUCUUCAGGCAUUCCAAAUGGGUUCGCAGAUGGGCUCCUUUCAAAGGAUUGUUCAUGGUAUGCAGGUAUGCAUGUUAUGUUGCUCGGUGCACAAGUUGUGUUCCUCAUCUGACUAAUGAUAAUGAAACAUAAUUUACAAAGUCUUGUCUUGUGUUAUCAGUAUACUGUUUAAAGUGUCAAUGUAACACCCACUAUUUUAUGAUGUCAUUAAUUAUUAUUAUAAUCGAUUUUAGAGAUUUUAUAAUUAUAUUAAAUUAUUUUGAGUUAGUUUUAAUAAAUUUCUUUCAUAUACGAAUUUAAAUAUUUACAUUAAAAAAAAAGAUCUGCGAUUACUAUAAUAAAGAGAUUCGAAUCAAAAUUAUUGUUUAAUAAAAUUUGUGAGCACACGAAGGUGAGUUUUCUAUGUUGGGCCUUGCAAAAAGAUGAAUCUUUAUAAAUAAAUAAAUAAAAUAAAAAGGAUGAGUUAGGGUUUUGAGUGGGUAUUACUCCUUUCCUCGCUCAAAAAAAAAAAGCACGCCUCUUUCGUCCCUCUCAUCUUCUCUCCUCUUCUCUCCCCCUCAAUCAUGUGCCUCCUUCACCUCCACUAGAACAGCCGCCACUUUCGCCUCCCUCAAACAGCAACUGGCGUGGCCUCCUCCACUAGUCCAGCCACGCCUGCUUCCCCACGUGCAGCACCGGCAGUAGCAGCCCGCUUUUACCCUCCAACAGCAGCCACAAGCUGCGUUUGAACCCAGCUGUGUUUGCCGCCAGCAAGCAGCGGCUGAAGCAGCCGAUUUUGUCCUCCCUCCACCGUCAACGAAGCUCCUGCGCCACCACCACAACCUCCACUUGCCCUUCACCUAUUUUUUUUCUUCUAGUUUCACCUUAGUAAGCUAUCUCUUCUUCCCCUAUUUUGAUUUUCUUGUUUCUUAUUGGAAUUUAUCAAGGUUAUGGGUUGUGUGUUGAUUUUGUGUUAUUUUAUUGAAUCUUAUUAUGGGUAGUAGCUAAAGGUGUUUUCUUUGAACAUGAUUUGAUUAGGGUUUGAUUUAGGGAUAAAAUUAUUAAUGGUGUGUGCUUUUAUGCUACAUUUGGUGGUGUAAUGAUUGAUUGGAUAACCUUAUAAAUUGUCUUAAGACUUAGUUUGGUUGAUUAUUGUUGUGAUAGUGAUAAUUAGUAUUGGUUAUGAUUGUAGUUGACUAUGGAAGUGAUUUUGGUUGUUAAUUGGGAAUAAUAGUUGUUAAUUGUUGUCGUUUGAUUGUUGUUGAUUACAAAUACUCUUGUUAGGUUGUUAUUGAAGUUAUAGAUAAGGUCAUGAGUAUAGUGCCAACUUAUCGUUGAUGGUUGCUGAAGAUACUUGUGAUGAUUUGAUUGUAGUUUUUCUAGCUAUGGAGAAUGUAAUGAAUGAUAUUGCGAUGUGAUAACUUUAAGAUUUGUGAUUAUCAUCAUACUAGUGUCAUAUUAACAUUGUAAGAUUUAAGCGUGAUUUGUUAUAUUUUAGAAGUAACGUGAAUCAAUAUAACUCACAUUUAGUUGAUGUAAAAGAACGAUUCACAUAACGCUUCUAUUCUUAAAGUGAUGGAAAGACUUGCGUCGUUGUUAAGUUGAUGAUUAUGAUUAUGUUGAAUGAUGUGUGCGUGCUAGAGUAAUUGGAGACUUAUCUUGAAUGGAUUAAAGUGGUUUGGCAUUUAGUUGGUAUGACAAAGUAGAUAAGUGGACUUAUUAGUUAUACUCUUAACUUAUAUAGAUGCUCAUUUCAUAAGAGGAAGGUAGAAUUUUAGUUGGGUGAUUUUUGUGACUUUUUGGUCGUGCAAUGACGCUUACAGGUACAUACACGCAGUAACUAACCCUUAUAUGCAAUUUGCUUUAAGACAUUGUUUAUUGUGAUAAUAUGCAUUAUAUAGAAACUAUGAGGUACUAGUGAGUACACUUUAUAUGAAGAGCUAUCGAUUUUGAAAUCCUUGCGCUUAAAAUAGUUUAGAGAAUGAAAGUGUUAGUAGAAGGCGGGGACCACCCCCUUAUCUAUUUAAGAAUUGGAUUAUGUCUUACUUGGAGUUAGAAUGACUACUUUAUAGGUGAAUUUCAUAUUUUAUUUGAGUUGUUCAGUGAGUCUAUAAUCCCAGGGUACUCAUUAAUAGUAGAAAUCGGGAAUUAUUCCCAUUUGAUAAAGCAUUAGAUUAUGAUUAGCUGGCGUGACUCAGCUGGAUUAUGUCCGGUUGAUUUAAUAGUCCCCUAAGUGAGAUCCGACGGGAUCACCAUAUGGGGGGUAUGAGCAUACUUUUGUCAUUGGGCGCCGGGUGGCCGAUACUGCCCCUUGACCGAGGUGUUACCAUGCGGGCUUUGCAAACCCUAAUAUGGUGGCCUCUUCACUGGAUUGGCAGUGUCUUAUAUUUUUCUCGAAGGUAGGAUCCAAGAGGGUCAGCUGGGGGUAUGAGCUCAUACUUUGCCAUGGGCACCGGAUGGCCGAUAACGCUCUUGGCCUUGUCACUAUGCCAUGAAGUAGAGAAAAAAUCCACUGAUAGAAAGUUACUCAAUGAUAGAAAACUUAUUCAUUGAUCGAAAGUAUUUAAUGAUAGAAAGUUAUUCGUUGAUAGAAAGUUUACACAUUGAUAGAAAAUUUACUCGUUGAUAGAAUAGUUUAUGCUAGUGAGAAGUGUGCCUAAGUUGAGUUACCUCAAGGGAGUUACCAAUCCAAAAGAUAGACUAUGAUCACACUUACUUUAGGAUAGACAAGCUCUAUACGGUCAUGUGUUAGGUAGUCUGUAAAUGCCUUGGUUGAGUUGAUACUACGUGUGUUUUACAAGAGUUUAUGUUUUGAGAAGAGGAGUGUGGAGACCUGCAUUCUACUCAAGAACACAUGGUUCAGGUUGGAAAGGACGUAAUGAGAUUAAGAAGUAUAUGUGGACGAUAAGCGGUUACUAUUUGUGCUUGUGUCUUAUGAAAUCAUCUUAUGUUGUUGUAUAACAUGAUGUUAUCUAGUAGGUUGGCCUUAUUAUAUUUGAUGUUAGUUACUGACGUGUAUGUGUUUGUGUUUAUGUUUGAUUGUUUGAUGAAUUUCUAUGAUUGUCCUGGUAUGACACAUUGGCCUUUGGUCUAAUGUCGAGCAGCAGGAAGAUCAUAGACAGGCGUAGCAGGUAUUGGAGCUUCUUUUGCAUUGCAUUGCAUUGAGGGAGAGUAAUGAGGGCGCAGCAUAACCUGUGUCAUACCAUCAUCUUUUGACCUUAUAGGUAUUAAUUAUCUUUUGUAAACUUUGGUUUGUAUACGUUUCGUUACGCGGCCUUGUGUCCUCCUUUGUAUGUUUGUCUUUCCCUUGCGUAGUUUAUAACUUUGCAUUGUUCUAAAAAGUUAAGUCAUUUUAAAAUGCAAGCGUUGACACUGGAACCACGAUCCAUGCUUGGCAUGUUGAUUUGAGAAGCCGACGUUGAAUCAUUCCGCCGUGAGAUUUUAAAGGCAAUGAUGCCUUAGAUUAAUUUAAUGUUUUUUUUUAUUGUGCUAAUUGCUCUACCACAUGUUUGAUUUUUAGUAGAGAUGUUGCCGAAAUUUCUACUCAUAAUUUCUUUUAAAAUUUAAUAUUAUCUUAUUUAUUUUAUUUUAAUGUUACACCCGAAUUUCCUCCUAUCUUUUGCGGUUUUGGUUUUGUAUAAGGCUUGGCAAUUCAGGGGUGUUACAGUCAAUGCUACUUCUCUCUCUUCCCCCCUUGAGCAAUUUUUAUUAUAUGUUUUUUCAGAAGUUCUCACGACCAUUGUUAGUUCUCUCCAUAGUUGAAUCUUUUUCAGAAAUAUCAGAUCAGGCAAAUGUUGCAAAUGAUCCUCAUGGUUAUCAUUUAUUUGAGAACCUGAAUGAAGAUGCAUCCUCUGUGCAGCCUUACGUUGAUGUAAGAAACAAUGAUGUCAUUCCUAGUUCUUCGUCAUCAGAGGAGUGGUCGCAUAAAUUUCACGAAGAGCUGAUAAGGCAAGGGGAUUGAUGAGAGUGAGCUGCGAAGAUUUUACAGUGCUGCAAAUGGUGACUUUUCACGCCUGCUUUCAUCAGUCAAGAAGACAAUUCUUUGGAGAGAAACGUACCACAUUCUCUCAGAACAGGACCUUAAGGGGUGGUCAGAUUUCGUUUUCUGGCAUGGCUAUGAUAAUAGGAACAGUCCUUGUCUGAUUGUGCAUCUUGGUGUAGCUUGCACCAGUCUGCCAAAUAAAGAUCGACCUCGAUUUGCCCAGUGUCUCAGAUGGAGCAUGGUAUCCUGCAUUUAGCUGAUCGUGAAUGUCCUCGAGUUAUGGUUUUAGUAGACUGUGAAGGUUUUUCUCCUUUAAGACUUCCAAUGCAGAUGAGAAGAUCAUGUGCUCUGCCUUUUCAAGAUAAUUUUCCACUGUCUUGGCAGUUUAUAUGUCAUACGGCUUCCUCCUGUAAUACGGAUGAUGCUGCAAACUCUUAUGAAAGUUCUAAAUCCUGUUACUCAACAAAAGCUGAAAUUUUUUGGACAACAGUACCAAGAUAUUCUAUCCGAAUUUUUAGAGGAACUUCCAGCAUGUUUGGAUGGUAAAUGCAUGUGCAAUAUGUUCAAGUCCAAUUUCUAAUUACUCGACAUUCUUCUACGGAAGUGGCAAAUCAACUACUUACAAAUUAACUACUUUGCGACAAUGUUGAUCUUAAUUAUCUUAGAUCUGAGAUUGACAUCCAUCCUAGUUUCGAUCAGGGGCUAAUAAGAACUUGCAUGAUUGGAAUCCUUAUCAUGUGUGUACUCUUUGCUCUCUUGGCGGGAUUAUCUGACACGGAACUGGCCAAGCUUGUUCAUGUGAGGUAACAAUAAGCUUUAUAUGUUAAAACUGCAAGCCCAUUUCUUUUCAUUAAGAUAUCAGAAAUGCCCAUUAUUGCUUUCAGUAUGUUAUUCUGGAAUGUGCUGGAAGUAAGAAGUUCCUUCUCGUGUGAUAUUAUUUCCGUACUUGUCUAUCAUUUACAUCUACAUAUUUAAUAUAACGAACUGCUACAAUUUGUAAUACUCAUCCCAUUGGCCAUUUAUCUUCUAUGUUGUGGUUAUUAGAUGAGGAUGUGGAGGUGUUUACUUGUAUCGAGUGCCAUCUAAAUAUAUAUAUGUUUCCUUUUUUUAGAAAGUGU